AAUUAACACGUUCGCCUUUAAUUCUGGGCCAUUUUCUACUCCAGUUUUCACUUGUACCAUCUCUACAGCACCUGCACAUGCUCAGGAACAUCAUUUCAAAGGAUACGGGGAAAAGAGAUGUCACAUGAACACGUCUUAGAAUUUACACUGUAAAUCAAACAAUGUUGCUGCAAAGGCAUGUAAGUUAAUAUAGAAACAAUGGAAGAAUGUAAAGAAAACUCAGAGACAGGGAAGAAAGCCAGGAUAGGCUCCAAGAUCAGCUGGAUGAGAUCACAACAUGUGACCCUCACAGAUGAUAGAUCAAGAAAAUGGGAAGAGCUUCAAAGCCCUGAAACCAUAUAAAGGAGAGUCACCCAACAACUAAAAGCACCCAUCCUAAACUAUUAUGUGAACAAGAAACAAACCUCUAUUAAUAUAUUUGAAUUAUUAAAUAUUUUGAGUCUA
rnacentral:lncRNA from 1 species